rnacentral:rRNA from 1 species
UACGUAGGGUGCGAGCGUUAAUCGGAAUUACUGGGCGUAAAGCGUGCGCAGGCGGUUCUGAAAGUCAGCUGUGAAAGCCCCGGGCUUAACCUGGGAAUUGCGGUUGAAACUACAGGGCUAGAAUCUGGCAGAGGGGGUGGAAUUCCACGUGUAGCAGUGAAAUGCGUAGAGAUGUGGAGGAACACCGAUGGCGAAGGCAGCCCCCUGGGAUAACACUGACGCUCGAUGCACGAAAGCGUGGGGAGCAAACAGG